UCCUGGCUCAGGAUUAACGCUGGCGGCGUGCCUAAUACAUGCAAGUCGAAUGGUAGCAAUACCAUGGCGAACGGGUGAGUAACACGUAGGUAACCUGUCUUUAAGACGAGGAUAACCGUUGGAAACGACGGAUAAUACUCGAUAGGUGAUUUGAGGGCAUCCUUGGAUCAUUAAAGAUUUAUCACUUAGAGAGGGGCCUGCGGCGCAUUAGCUAGAUGGCGGUGUAAUGGACCACCAUGGCGAUGAUGCGUAGCCGGACUGAGAGGUUGAACGGCCACAAUGGAACUGAGAACGGUCCAUACUCCUACGGGAGGCAGCAGUAGGGAAUUUUCGGCAAUGGGCGAAAGCCUGAACCCGAGCAACGCCGCGUGAACGAAGAAGUAUUUCGGUAUGUAAAGUUCUUUUAUCGGGGAAGAAAAUAUUCAAAUUGACGGUACCUGAUGAAUAAGCUCCGGCUAACUACGUGCCAGCAGCCGC
rnacentral:rRNA from 1 species